UUAAAAUAGAAAAGUGUAGAACUUUUGAGCUUUGCUUUGUCUGUCGUUCUUCUGUGCUUCAAUUUGGCAAUUCUGACAUCUUUUUUAGGACCAACUAAGUUGACUGCAUUUUGUUCAGUUAGCUCAGAAUUCAGAUAUGGCAAUCUUGGAUUUCAAAUGUUUCACUUGUAUUCUUGACUGCCAACAGGUAUAUAUUUUCCCCCUUUUUCUUUCCAUUUUGAGAUAUUUUUUUGUUGCAAUUCUAUUAUUCUAUUUCUUUUGAUUCAUGUGUUUAUUGUACCCUUUGAAUUGUCGAUCUCA